rnacentral:rRNA from 1 species
GAUGAACGCUGGCGGCGUGCCUAAUACAUGCAAGUCGAGCGAACAGACGAGGAGCUUGCUCCUCUGACGUUAGCGGCGGACGGGUGAGUAACACGUGGAUAACCUACCUAUAAGACUGGGAUAACUUCGGGAAACCGGAGCUAAUACCGGAUAAUAUAUUGAACCGCAUGGUUCAAUAGUGAAAGACGGUUUUGCUGUCACUUAUAGAUGGAUCCGCGCCGCAUUAGCUAGUUGGUAAGGUAACGGCUUACCAAGGCGACGAUGCGUAGCCGACCUGAGAGGGUGAUCGGCCACACUGGAACUGAGACACGGUCCAGACUCCUACGGGAGGCAGCAGUAGGGAAUCUUCCGCAAUGGGCGAAAGCCUGUCGGAGCAACGCCGCGUGAGUGAUGAAGGUCUUUGGAUCGUAAAACUCUGUUAUUAGGGAAGAACAAAUGUGUAAGUAACUAUGCACGUCUUGACGGUACCUAAUCAGAAAGCCACGGCUAACUACGUG